AUACGUAGGUGGCGAGCGUUAUCCGGAUUUACUGGGUGUAAAGGGCGCGUAGGCGGGGAAGCAAGUCAGAUGUGAAAUCCAUGGGCUCAACUCAUGAACUGCAUUUGAAACUGUUUCUCUUGAGUGCCGGAGAGGUAGACGGAAUUCCUAGUGUAGCGGUGAAAUGCGUAGAUAUUAGGAGGAACACCAGUGGCGAAGGCGGUCUACUGGACGGUAACUGACGCUGAGGCGCGAAAGCGUGGGGAGCAAACAGGAUUAGAUACCCUGGUAGUCCACGCUGUAAACGAUGAAUACUAGGUGUGGGGGGACUGACCCCCUCCGUGCCGCAGUUAACACAAUAAGUAUCCCACCUGGGGAGUACGGCCGCAAGGCUGAAACUCAAAUGAAUUGACGGGG
rnacentral:rRNA from 1 species